rfam:Schistosoma curassoni strain Dakar, Senegal genome assembly, scaffold: SCTD_scaffold0001177
AUCCAGUUGACGAGUCCGAAAUAGGACGAAACGCAUGUCGUGGAC